AGCCUUCCUCUUACAGAAAAUUUUUCCAUGCAGACUGAUAUGACCAGAAGACA
rnacentral:other from 1 species